rnacentral:rRNA from 1 species
AUUAACGCUAGCGGCAGGCAUAAUACAUGCAAGUUGAACGGCAGCACAGGUAGCAAUACCGGGUGGCGAGUGGCGCACGGGUGCGUAACACGUACGCAACCUACCCUAUACAGGCGAAUAACCUUUAGAAAUGAGGGCUAAUACGCCGUGGUAUUAUCUUGGGGCAUCUUGAGAUAAUUAAAGAUUUAUCGGUAUAGGAUGGGCAUGCGUCCCAUUAGUUAGUUGGUAGGGUAACGGCCUACCAAGGCGAUGAUGGGUAGGGG